rnacentral:rRNA from 1 species
UAACCCAAGGUUGACCUCGGAUCAGGUAGGAAGACCCGCUGAACUUAAGCAUAUCAAUAAGCGGAGGAAAAGAAACCAACAGGGAUUGCCUAGUACGGCGAGUGAAGCGGCAACAGCUCAAAUUUGAAAUCUGGCUUCGGCCCGAGUUGUAAUUUGCAGAGGAAGCUUUAGGCGCGGCACCUUCUGAGUCCCCUGGAACGGGGCGCCAUAGAGGGUGAGAGCCCCGUAUAGUUGGAUGCCUAGCCUGUGUAAAGCUCCUUCGACGAGUCGAGUAGUUUGGGAAUGCUGCUCAAAAUGGGAGGUAAAUUUCUUCUAAAGCUAAAUACCGGCCAGAGACCGAUAGCGCACAAGUAGAGUGAUCGAAAGAUGAAAAGCACUUUGAAAAGAGGGUUAAAUAGCACGUGAAAUUGUUGAAAGGGAAGCGCUUGUGACCAGACUUGCGCCGGGCAGAUCAUCCGGUGUUCUCACCGGUGCACUCUGCCCGGCUCAGGCCAGCAUCGGUUCUCGCGGGGGGGAUAAAGGCCCUGGGAACGUAGCUCCUCCGGGAGUGUUAUAGCCCGGGGCGUAAUGCCCUCGCGGGGACCGAGGUUCGCGCAUCUGCAAGGAUGCUGGCGUAAUGGUCAUCAGCGAC